GCCCCGCGGCUCUGGCCUCUGUUGGGGACUAUCGAUGCAGCUCCGGAUCUCCUCUGCUGACCCCAUUAGGGCUCUGCCUGCAGAGACGGAGGGAGGCUGGCCAGCGCCUGCACUCGCCAUGAGCCGGAGGCUGGGGGCCUGGGCCGGGGGCUCCCCGGGGGUGGCGGAGGGGAAGCUGCAAGUCCUGGAGAAGUUCUUUCAGCCUGCCUGGGCUUGGGGGCGGGAGUCCCUGUGGAGCUCCCCUUCCUCCUCCCCGGGCUCCGCAGGCCCCCCCCGGAUUGGCGGCCGGGGUCCCGAGGAGAGGUUGAGGUUUUCGGCCUUCCUCGAUGAGAUAACCCAGAGGGUGCUGAGCCCUGCCCAGCUCCAGGCCCUAGGCUGGAGGGGGGCGCUGCACCACCCCGGGGGUGGAGGAGGACGGCGGAGAACAAAGCCCCCCGGCCAGCCCAUCUCUCCAGAGGACCCGCUGUGGGAGCUGCUGACGCCCAGCGGGGGCUCCGUAGACGGGGGAGACCCGGACCCCGCGCUCGCUCUGCAGCCCGUGUGGGAGGAGCUGCUGGCCCUAAAGGAGCAGUGCAGGAGGCUGCAAGAGGACUUGGCCAGCACUCACAGGGCCCAUCAACUCCUGGAGGAGAAACUCCAAAGCCUGUUUCCUCAUUCAUAAAAUGAGCUGGAGAAAGGAAACAGCCCAAACCACGGCCAUAUCUGCACCCAGAAAACCCCAAAUGGGGCCAUGAGGAUUAGGACAAGCCCUGAAAGCACUGGAUGGCAACAAAAUGAAGACCGUAAUAGCAGCUACCUUCUAGGGUUGUGGUGAGGAUCGACUGCGAUAUGGACCGUCGUGUGCUUGGCACACAGUAGGCACUUGCUAAGUUCUUAUUCCCUCCCUCCCUUCCCAGAAGUUUCUGGAGCUGGGCAGGGUCCCAACCAGGCCAUCCUUGUACUGAGACAGUUUUGGCAGCUGUCCAGAGGAUGACCUGCGGAGGAGGAGGAGGGGUGCACCUGGCAGGGCCCACAAGAGAUGCUGAGUUCUGGUGGAGCUCGGAGAGCAGAGGAGGGAAGGGAUCCUGGGGGAGCCAUGGUGGACGUCGAAUGGACCUGCCCUGGCCACGUAGGGGAAGGCGAGGCCGACUGAGGCGGCAGCACGCCUGGCUGCAGCCCCACUAAGGUCCACUCCAUGGAGAUGGCUAGUUCCUUGGAAUCGUGGCAGCCCUACUCUCUCCCCCUCCAGGCAGGUGCAAAGGGCAGGCCCUCCGGGGUAAUGGUUAACCAGAGGCAUGGACGCCCCGUCUAUAAGAAGUCUCCAGCCCGCCGCCGUGGUGGGGAUUUCCUGGCAUCAUGCAGUGGUGGAAGGCGACCUUGGUGGUGCUGGGGGUCGCUGCCCUCUUUAGCCUGGGCAUCAUCCUGGGUCACUUCGACAUUCCCAAGAAGGCCGAGUCAACCGGCCCCACCAGCCUCAGCCAAGAUCUGGAUCAGGAGCUGCUGGACAACGUCAUGGCUCAACUGGACGCCAACAGGAUCCGGGAGAACCUCAGGGAGCUGUCCUUGAAGCCCCAUCUGGCCACCAGCUCGAGGGAUGACUCUCUUGUAGAGCUCUUUAUGGAGAAGUGGCAGAACCCCGAGUGGGGGCUGGAUGCUGCCAGGAAGGGGGUCUAUGAGGUGCUGCUGUCCUUCCCGAGCCAGAAGCAGCCCAACAGCGUUCGCGUGGUGAGCCCUCAGGGACAGAUUCUCUUCGAUGCCCGGCAGAAGGAGGAGAACCUGACUGAGGAGCAGGGAGACCCGGAGGUGGUACCACCCUAUGCUGCUUAUGCCCCACCAGGGUCCCCUCAGGUACGGACCCUCCAGUUCUCCUUCCUGGGCUAA
ensembl:lncRNA